GAUGAACGCUAGCGACAGGCUUAAACACAUGCAAGUCGAGGGGCAUCACGGGUAGCAAUAUCUGGUGGCGACCGGCGAACGGGUGAGUAACGCGUAUGCAACCUACUUGUAAACGGGAGACAACCUGGAGAAAUUUGGGCUAAACUUCCAUGAGGCAUUAUUACUGCAUGGUAAUGAUGUCAAACGUAAGGUUUACAAAUGGGCAUGCGUAUGAUUAGCUAGUUGGUAGGGUAAUAGCCUACCAAGGCGACGAUCAUUAGGGGUUCUGAGAGGAAGGUCCCCCACAUUGGAACUGAGAUACGGUCCAAACUCCUACGGGAGGCAGCAGUGGGGAAUUUUGGACAAUGGGGGCAACCCUGAUCCAGCCAUGCCGCGUGAGUGAAGAAGGCCUUGGUUGUAACUCCUGGACUGGGGACGAGGUAAGGACGGUACCCAGUAGAAAGGGACGGCUAACUACGUG
rnacentral:rRNA from 1 species